rnacentral:misc_RNA from 1 species
AAGUCGUAACAAGGUCUCCGUAGGUGAACCUGCGGAGGGAUCAUUACUGAGUGAGGGCCCCCGGCCCGACCUCCAAACCCUUUGUAAACCGACCCUGUUGCCUCGGGGGACUCCGGCGUCUUCGGGCGCCGGGCCCCCGGUGGACCCCCCAACUCUGCGUCUUUGCGUCUGAGUCUUGAAUGAUAAAUCAAUUAAAA